GAUGAAGAACGCAGCGAAAUGCGAUAAGUAAUGUGAAUUGCAGAAUUCAGUGAAUCAUCGUAUCUUUGAACGCACCUUGCACCCUUUGGUAUUCCGAAGGGUAUGCUCGUUUGAGUGUCAUUGUACUCUCACACUUCUAAUUCCUUUCGGGAUUGGGAGCGGUGGACUUGGGUGUUGCUGCUUUAGUUGUGGCUCACCUCAAAUAAGUUAGUGCAACUCUUGGUUGGACAUAGUACGGCGUGAUAAGUGUCUUCGCCGGCGCCUCUGUAAGGAGGGUGGCCGAUCGGGAGCUCUGUGCUUCAAACCGUCUUCGGACAAUCUUUGACAACUUGACCUCAAAUCGGGUAGGACUACCCGCUGAACUUAAGCAUAUCAAUAAGCGGAGGA
rnacentral:misc_RNA from 1 species